rnacentral:rRNA from 1 species
GUAGGGAAUAUUGGUCAAUGGAGGCAACUCUGACCCAGCCAUGCCGCGUGCAGGAUGACGGCCCUCUGGGUUGUAAACUGCUUUUAUACGGGAAGAAAAAAUACUACGUGUAGUAUACUGACGGUACCGUAAGAAUAAGGAUCGGCUAACUCCGUGCCAGCAGCCGCGGUAAUACGGAGGAUCCAAGCGUUGUCCGGAUUUAUUGGGUUUAAAGGGUGCGUAGGCGGAUCUUUAAGUCAGUGGUGAAAGCCUGCAGCUUAACUGUAGAAUUGCCAUUGAAACUGAAGAUCUUGAAUGUGGUUAAAGUAGGCGGAAUGUAUCAUGUAGCGGUGAAAUGCUUAGAUAUGAUACAGAACACCGAUAGCGAAGGCAGCUUGCUGAACCAUUAUUGACGCUGAGGCACGAAAGCGUGGGGAGCGAACAGGAUUAGAUACCCUGGUAGUCC